UACGUAGGUGGCAAGCGUUGUCCGGAUUUACUGGGCGUAAAGGGCGUGCAGGCGGUUUGUUUAGUCUAGGGUGAAAGCUCCCGGCUUAACUGGGAGAGGUCCUUGGAUACUGGCAAACUUGAGGGAGGCAGAGGAAAGUGGAAUUCCCGGUGUAGUGGUGAUAUGCGUAGAUAUCGGGAGGAACACUAGUGGCGAAGGCGGCUUUCUGGGCCUUACCUGACGCUGAGACGCGAAAGCGUGGGGAGCGAACCGG
rnacentral:rRNA from 1 species